GGGUGCGGGUGCAGGUCCCAGCAGGAGUACGUUAGAACCCAGCCCCAAAGCUUGAGUCCAGCAGGGAGACCAGGCAGGGAGGGGCGGGGCUGGUGGGAUCCUCAGAGGAGGUGGGGGUUCGGGGUGGGGGGUGAGGUGUGGAGGCCUCUCUCUGCUCCCCUCCAGCAGGGCCUAAGAGCAGGGGUCUGCACGUGCCCACAGGACACCCCUUGCCCCCGCCCUGGCCUCUUGGACAAGCUGGAGAGAGCGGGCUCCGCAGGAGGAACGGCCAUGGUGGGGAGCAGCAGAGACCCCCAUGCUGUCCACCCACAUGGACGUGGCCAUGACGCGAAACCCACUCCCUUCCCCAUGCGACGGCCAGGCCGACGUCUAGAAACAGGGACCUAGAAACAGACCUGGUGGCCUCAUCACCUGGACACUGGCAGCCCGUGCUCCUCCACCCCCAGCUCAGCGAGGGCGGCCACUGCCCACAGUCCUUGGACCCUGGGCUGGGGCCAUGACUGUGGUGUGGUUACCUUGAUGGCCUCAGCCGCGGACGGCCGCUCCGGGGCACUGCGCCUGGCCAUGUCCAGGAGGAGGGUCUUGAGCCUGCGUGGCAGGGCCAGCUUGUGGUUGCGGGGGACGCUGAACUUGGCUGCGGUCCACAGAACGGCGGCCACACAGUACACAGAGGCCUGGGCGGGUGGGGAGAGAAUAGUGUCUACCGCAGGGCUGUGGGCUGCUGUGCCCAGCAGACCUGCCCACCUCAGGCACCCUGAGGGGCACCCAGGCACUGCCCCCACAGAGGGGCUCUCCUCAAGACCCCUCCUCAGCAUCUAUCAGGCCCCACCCUGGACCCCUGCAUCCGCCUCCAGGUCGUGGUCCAGGAACCUGCAGGUCGAACUCUCCCCCAUGGUUCUGUCCGCGUUUUAAACACCAGAGGGUUGGAAGCCUCAACUGGACUUUCCCACCUUCCACUCUCCUCACGAAGGCAGCAGCUCGAGGGUUUGAGGAGAACUGGCCAGCAUAGCCCCCACCUCACGGACCCGGGAGCCCCCCGACUGGUGCCUGCUCCCGGAAGCCCCCCGACUGGUGCCGUGCUGCUACAUGGCUAACAACUGGCUCUCCGAGCGAACACACCGCCUGUGUGCAAACUGAGUUCAUCCGGCACGUUGCUGAUGUAAGGGAUGCACAGCACACCAUUUGAUGCACGUUUUUAAAUGAGAUGGAAGUGAAGCCGGACAGACCCAUGCUGGAAUUCGGGGCACCCCUCUGAGCGACGUCUUUGCUGAAUCAGAUGGUCGCGGUUGAUAUCGUAAGACCAUGUCCUCCACCUUUUGGGCUAUUCUCAAGGGAGCGGCCACAGACAUGACACACUUUUAAGUUUAAUCACAUCAUCCACGUGUUCUCCAUCACUUCAGUAAGUCCAGAGAGUCAACAGAACAAGACAUUUGUAGCGUUUGCUGCUUUCCCUGGUGUAAGUACUCCCACGUGGCUGACUUCUGGCUACCAAUGCAGUGCCCUUGAGUGUGGAGCUGGGAAGAGGCAGCUCCCCUUUACAGAGUCUCCCCCAUCCAGGCACAGCAGACGCAGACAGCCCCACGAGCAUAGAACAGCCAACUAGAGUCAGAUAAGUAGGAAAUCACCCAUUUUGAGCACUUGUUACACUUUUAAAAAAUUAACCUUUUAUUUUGUGAUAAUUGUACAUAGUUUUAAUAAAUAAUAGAGCUCA